CUGGGGUGAUGAUUCUUAGCCAAAUCAGACAUUGAUGUGCUCCAGUGGAUUGUCUUUCCUAGCCAUAUAUAUAUAUAUAUACUUAUAUAUAUGGUCUGGGGCAGCUUGUAAAGCCUGCGAGUAGACACCUUUUGUAGAAGCGCAUCUAUGUGAUGAUAAAACAGAGAAAUGGUAUCAGACUGACCAGA
rfam:Daucus carota subsp. sativus cultivar DH1 chromosome 3, whole genome shotgun sequence.